rnacentral:lncRNA from 1 species
GCCCCCGGGCUCCCGCAAACCCACCCUGACCUCCUUCCUGCCGCUCGCCGCCCGGCCGCACUCUCUGUCCAUCCGAAGGGAAGGCGCCCCAGAGUUUGCGUCCCCGUCUGCUGCAGAGUAACUAGAUUGUAAAUAACGCGGCGAUGACCCACACCGUGCAGGAAUGUUUAAAAAAAAAAAAAAAAUCUGCCCUCCAUUUAAAUGAGCGAUAAAAAGAAAUGGCAGGAGGGGAAGGAGGCUGGGAGAGGGGGAUAUCUCUAGAUCUCGGUGGAGCUCGCGUCUAUAAAUACGCAUUCAUGUUUAGUCAAGUCCCCUUUGUCAACUUCUUCCCUGCGCUGGAACCUCGCCGGCUGUCCUGUAACCAUUACCUGGGCCCUUUCGUGUCGCCCACCCCCGUUUGCACACGCAUGAUGCUGAUUUGCAUGUUCUCUGCCCCCAUCUCGGCGAUCUUCUUCAGGCGCGCAUCCAUUGACUGAGCCGCGUCUCUCGGCACCCCCAGCAUUUCCCAGAGUGCAACAACACCACCCGAGAUCAAUGACCAGUCUGUUUAUUCUUGACGCGCCGGGAAGAGCAAGGCACUGAAGGAGCAUGGGAGGAAGACUUGGGGCUUGCCUCUUGGCGACCUCUCGCAGACUUUUUCUAGCUGGAUUUCUAAACGGCAGCUAGCAAGCAAAUAGAGUUCCUCAAUGCACGCCAUCACAUACCAAUGACGAUAUAUUCAUCUAGAAAUGUGAUACAUCCUUUUUCCCUCCACCCCCUUUCACCUUUUGUCGAUUUGUCUCUGGAGGUGGAUUGCUAAUACCUGAGAUUUUGCACUUGUCUAGGGCGGAAACUUUCUGGGGUGUUUGACGAUUGAUUAUUUGGUACCUGCUUUCUAAAAAUGGCUAAACACCUUUCCUUGGAACAAAAGUGAGAAAUGCAAAUCCUAAUAACUCAAGGCAAAAAUUUCAAAGUGUAAGCACAGUUAUUAUCCACUCCCACAAAGAAAAGCUUACUCUUCCACAAAUAUUUGAUAGCAUAGAGCCCAGUAAUUAAGAGAACAAUCAAAUAAACUCAAGGCUUUCAUGGGGACUCUAAAUUAUCAUCUGCCUAGAAUUUAUAAGCGGUGUAAUCAUUUGCCAACUUGGAUAUAGCUCUAGAUAUAGCAUUCUAAAUGUGUAUCCUUAAACAGUUAAGUUUUCUUAAGUAUUUAAUGAGCGAGAUCACGGAUAAUAAUAAUAUUCAAAUUGCUGGAUCAAUGUGGCCUCACCAACUGUGUGAAAAAAUUCCCUUCAUGUGUGCAUGAAACGUCUUGCCUAUAUGUUACCUUUCCUAACAUUUCCUAUGCAUGCAAGCAAGCUUCAAGUCUGAGCCACUUGCAUAAUAAGAAUAUAAGAAUACCUAAGAAUGCAUCAAUAAUUGUGCUGUACCUUGAAUUUAAGUGUAAUUUUUAUGCUAAAGAGUUCUUGGCAUAUAUUACAUGAUUUAUCCUCAUAAUACAUAUGUAGUUGCUUUUCACAGCUCUUAGUAUGAAGGUCCUUAUAUAAUGUAAAAGAAGCAAAUCAGGCCAACUGCAAAAAAAAAAAAAAAAAAAGCCUCUCGCUACCUUUUAAAAAAAAGGCCUUAAAAAACAUAAUCAUACUGCAAUUCUGAUAAUUGCGCAGUAGCAUCAUUUUUCGCUACUUACUGACACGUCAUUAGCAAGAGUAAAUGAGUGAGUCCUUUUCCUCUAGCUCUCCAGCCAGUGGGUGACAAGCAUGCCUGGGUGCCCUAACCCCACCAGGCAGAGCAGUGCUGCCUUCUCAGGGUUUCAGCCUGUACUGCUUCUUCAGUGUAAGAACGGAGGCUUCCUACUUGCAGGAGAAGAGAGCUGGGCAGAGGGAAGAAGGGACUGUCACAAGCUGCCUAAUGAGAUAUUGGUGAAACUUGAAUUACACCAACCUCUUCUUUUUUGCUCCUACGGGCAGCAGAACUUCCAACCAUUUAUGAUUAUUGAAACCACAUGGCCUUAAGACUAACCCAUGAUCAUUAUAUAGCAACAGCAUAGCUGAUCAAAAACCUCCAGUGAAAUGUUUGUUUGUGUUAGGCUUUUAAAAAAAAUACCCGUAUUUGAGGCAGGGCUAACACAUGAAAGAUCAGUGUUUCCAUUUAUCAAGCAUUUACUAUGUCCUAGGCUCUUGGCCAAGUGCUUUUUUUCAUGUAUUUUGUCUCUACUUCUUACCACAAACUUGUAAGAAAUGUUACAUCCCUGUUUUGCAGAUGAGAAAACUAAAGCUCGGAAAGGUUACGUGACUUGCCCAAAAUCAUACAGCUUCUAAGUGGUUGUGCCAGGAUGCCAAUCCAGACUGCUCUGGCUUUAAGCUUCAUCAUAAUGCACUUACACUUUAUAUUAGGGGCAGUUUUUGGUGAGAAAUAUCAUUUCAUGAAAUGCGUCCAUUUAAAAUACCAAAUUUACACUAUGUACAGUCCAGACAUGAACUGUAUUGUUAUUCUCAUUCAUGUUGGUUAUUAGAUGAUUGUGAAAUUUCAAAAAGAAAAAAACCUAAAUGUGCCAUAUAAAGGAGUAUCCAUAUAUAUUAAAUGUAAAAGAUAUUUAGCAAUAUAUAUAAAGUGGUUUUAUUUUAUAGGCUAAGCAAUGUAUAUUAUACAUACAUGUGCAUAUAUCCAUAUUAUGUAUAUCAUAACAUCAAUAGCUAAAGUUUUUGAAUCUAUAUAAUUUUAUAAGCAUUGUUCUAAAUGCUUUACAUGUAUAAACUCAGUUAAUCCUCACAACCACCCUAUGAGGUACAUACUUUUAUCAUUUUACAGAUUAGAAAACUGAAGCACAGAGAGGUUUUAUAAUUUGUCCAAGGUUACACAAUCAGCAGAUGAUGGAGCCUGGACUCAAAUCAAAGUGCUAUAGCAUAUACAUAUAUGUGUGUGUGUUCAGUUGUGUAUACAUUAAAAGUACAUAUACACAUAUACUCAUGGACAUGCUAUGGUUUUUCCUUGAUUAGCAUGGGGUGGAACUGCAUAGGUCUACUUAUACACAGGUUUUUUUCCAAUAAAUUCCAUUUUUUCCAAUAAAUUCCAGUACUAUUCCAUUCUCACUCAGCUGAAUCUGCAGUUGGUGGAAUCGCUGGAUGGGGAAGGUAGACCCUGGGAUUUGCGAAUCCGGGGAUUUUAGUGUCAGGGCAGGUCCUGGAACUAAUCCCCUGUGGAUCACCAAGGGACAACUACGUAGAUAUAACUCUCAAAAUUGGGAGGGAGGAAUUAAGCCAUAUCAACUGAGAUUUGUUGCUUCCUCAUAUUCUAAUUCCCUCCGGAGGCACUAGAAACAUUAUUGUUAGGAGAGGUCUUUACAUUUGCCAAGGUAUGGAAGAGUCUCUAAAAAUUUUUGAGGCAAUCUCAAGCCCUCCAACCUAUUUGGAGGCCUUGGGGGGAAAUGCUCGUAAAUACAUUUUAGGAGUGAACAAUAUUUGACCCUAGAUAAUUGUCACAAAGUUCAUUUUAGAUUUAUUUGGUCAUAUAUGUUAAAAAGAGCAGAGAGAGAGAGAGUACUUGGGAAUCCUAAAGAAGAUAGUGAAGGAUACUAAUAAAUACAAAAACCUGUGACCAGAGAAGUAGAGGGAAAUUUAGAGGAUCCAAGAAACCAAAUAUGUCAUGUCAUCUAAAUGGGUCUGAAUUAUCCAUUUUUACUAUUUUUUUUAAGUCAGGGUUGUUCGUCAACCCUUACUCCAUCAAGGAGUAACAAAAAUAUGUUGUAAAAUGGUGAUUUAAAUUUAACAACUGUGGACUCAAACACUGACACUGCUCAAAGGAACCUUAAAAUAUUUGAUAAGAAUCCCCAAUAUAUGAGUGGUUUAUGCCAUGCCUGUUUUCACCUGUCUCAGCAAACACAAUAUGCACAUCAAAUUUUAAAAGGGAGCUUCUCCACAUCAAUCAGCUUUGAGAAAAUACUGUGAGAUCUUCUUCUCCUCCCUCCCAAUAAGGGGUUAUCUGUGGAAGGAAAAAUCACUGACAACAAUCUUCUUUCCUUAGGCGCGCUUCAUGCUGCUAACUCCUGAGUUACUGACAUCUAAACCCUUAACUCUACUGGCCUAAUGUGCUUCCUCAGAAAAGCUGGAAAAGAUACCCUAUACCUAACAGAUGCCACACAUUAAGUUCUUACUGAAAAAAACUUUUAAAGCCCUAUUACAGAUACAUAUGUUUUCAUUUAAAAACUACUAUGAAAUCGAGUGUUCUUUUAUUUAAACAUUCCCCUGUGGUUCUACGAAUUAAGGAUCAGUAGUACUAUAUUAACUGAGAGCCAGCCCCAACUGGUUAAAGACAGUUGGUAAAACUGCCAACACUGGUUUUGUUGCAGAAGUUGACUGAAAUGUGAGGCAGGCGGCAUAUACAUUUAAAAGUGAAUUCUAAUUUUUUUAAACCUUUUCAUUUUGGGAAGUAUUUAGGAUGAAACUUUUUUAUUUCAGCCAUACUUUUGAAAAGGGGAAAUAAUGUAUAAAACGCAGAUACUUUACAGAACCAAAGCCACAACUGCAUUGCUCUUCUUAGUGAAGUGUGUUUAUUAUUCUGAUUGUUAAAUUUUCCUUUCCUGGGAGAAAAACCAGAGAGAAUAAGAUCGGUUCUAUUCAAGUGAAACAACUUGUAGUUCCCACAUCUCAUCUCUUAAUUUUACUGUUUUUCAAUUUGACUCCUGUUAUUUAAUUUUAAAUAAUGAGUAUACAAUCUGGGAGGAUUUAAACAUGUAAAAAUUGGGUUUUUUUAAUAUGUAGAUUUCUUUCAGGUAUGGUUUUCACAAUAUAGUCUGUGCUCUCUAUUGCUGUAACCUUAAUAUCAAAAAUAUAUAAAGUUUACAUGCAAUGAGAUACACUGAUUUGGUUUACAAGGAAAAGGGUAAUGGUUGAUAUAUUUUGCUGAUUUACAAUUGGUAACAGAACAACUUAUCAAGCAAGGCAAUAAUGUUUCAAGCUUCAAUCCCGUUAAGUUUUAGGUAUUUGGGUCUAUGAAUUCAUGAUUUCUCUUUUUUCUGUUACUUCUUUCAGAUUUUUGGUAUUGUAUUAUCAAAAGCAUCGUAAAAUAUGUGAAAUAUUGUGGUCAAAUGAAAGAAGAAACAAAAUGAAAAUUCGGCAAAAGCACAUAAAAGAAAGAGGGUGGUUAAAAAACAUCAUUUAACAACACUCUUUGGGGAACUCCCCGGUUGUCUAGGGGUUAGGAUUCAGCGCUUUCACCACUGCAGCCCAGGUUCGGUCCCUGGUCUGAGAACUGAGAUCCCACAUCAAACUGCAGCACACCUGAGUCCCCAUCCCUCCCCCACAAAAAAGUAAAAAGUGUCCUUUGUAUUUGAAUUCCAGUAAAUAAAAUCUCAAUCUAAGUCAUCUAGGACUCCAACUUCUCAUUAAUGCUAAU